rnacentral:tRNA from 1 species
GAGAUGGCUCAGCGGUUAAGAAUACUUGACUACUCUUCCAGAGGUCCUGAGUUCAAUUCCCAGCAACCACA